ACGAACGCUGGCGGCGUGCUUAACACAUGCAAGUCGAACGGAAAGGCCUCAGCUUGCUGGGGUACUCGAGUGGCGAACGGGUGAGUAACACGUGGGUGAUCUGCCUUGCACUCUGGGAUAAGCUUGGGAAACUGGGUCUAAUACCGGAUUUGAACUGCCUUUAGUGUGGUGGUUGGAAAGUUUUUUCGGUGCAAGAUGAGCUCGCGGCCUAUCAGCUUGUUGGUGGGGUAAUGGCCUACCAAGGCGUCGACGGGUAGCCGGCCUGAGAGGGUGUACGGCCACAUUGGGACUGAGAUACGGCCCAGACUCCUACGGGAGGCAGCAGUGGGGAAUAUUGCACAAUGGGCGGAAGCCUGAUGCAGCGACGCCGCGUGGGGGAUGACGGCCUUCGGGUUGUAAACUCCUUUCGACAGGGACGAAGCUUUUUGUGACGGUACCUGUAUAAGAAGCACCGGCUAACUACGUG
rnacentral:rRNA from 1 species